rnacentral:misc_RNA from 1 species
AACUUUUGGCAAUGGAUCACUUGGUUCCGGCAUCGAUGAAGAACGCAGCGAAAUGCGAUAAGUAAUGCGAAUUGCAGAAUGCCGUGAGUCAUCGAAUCUUUGAACGCACAUUGCGCCCCCCGGCUGCCCGGGGGGCAUGCCUGUCCGAGCGUCAUUGCCAUCCCCUCAAGCUCCGCUUGGCUGGUUGGGCCGACGUCCACCCGUGGCUUUGUGCCCAGGGGGGACGGACCCGAAAGGCAGUGGCGGCUCCCGGAGGGUGGUCCCUUGGGUCUGUGAUACAUGGGGUGUCAUCUUCCUGCGCUCUGUUGGUCACGCUCCGGGGGUCUGUCGAACGAUUGGUCUUCCCCUUUAGGUUGACCUCGGAUCAGGUGGGGAUACCCGCUGAACUUAAGCAUAUCAACAAGCGGAGGCU